rnacentral:rRNA from 1 species
UACGAAGGGGGCUAGCGUUGUUCGGAUUUACUGGGCGUAAAGCGCACGUAGGCGGAUCGAUCAGUCAGGGGUGAAAUCCCAGAGCUCAACUCUGGAACUGCCUUUGAUACUGUCGAUCUGGAGUAUGGAAGAGGUGAGUGGAAUUCCGAGUGUAGAGGUGAAAUUCGUAGAUAUUCGCAAGAACACCAGUGGCGAAGGCGGCCGACUGGUCCGGUUCUGACGCUGAGGCGCGAAAGCGUGGGGAGCAAACAGG